rnacentral:rRNA from 1 species
AUAAGUAAAGAUAAUAAGGGCGUACGGUGGAUGCCUUGGCGAUAUCAGCCGAAGAAGGACGCGGUAAGCUGCGAUAAGCUACGGAGAGGUGCAAGC